UACGGGGGGUGCAAGCGUUAAUCGGAAUGACUGGGCGUAAAGGGUGCGUAGGUGGUUUGGUAAGUUAUCUGUGAAAUCCCCGGGCUCAACCUGGGAAGGUCAGAUAAAACUGUUAAACUAGAGUAUGGGAGAGGGUAGUGGAAUUUCCGGUGUAGCGGUGAAAUGCGUAGAGAUCGGAAGGAACACCAGUGGCGAAGGCGGCUACCUGGCCUAAUACUGACACUGAGGCACGAAAGCGUGGGGAGCAAACAGG
rnacentral:rRNA from 1 species